GACGAACGCUGGCGGCGUGCUUAACACAUGCAAGUCGAACGGAAAGGCCCUGCUUUUGUGGGGUGCUCGAGUGGCGAACGGGUGAGUAACACGUGAGUAACCUGCCCUUGACUUUGGGAUAACUUCAGGAAACUGGGGCUAAUACCGGAUAGGAGCUCCUGCUGCAUGGUGGGGGGUGGAAAGGUUCCGGCGGUGGGGGAUGGACCCGCGGCUUAUCAGCUUGUUGGUGGGGUAUUGGCUUACCAAGGCUUUGACGGGUAGCCGGCCUGAGAGGGUGACCGGCCACAUUGGGACUGAGAUACGGCCCAGACUCCUACGGGAGGCAGCAGUGGGGAAUAUUGCACAAUGGGCGGAAGCCUGAUGCAGCAACGCCGCGUGCGGGAUGACGGCCUUCGGGUUGUAAACCGCUUUCGCCUGUGACGAAGCGUGAGUGACGGUAAUGGGUAAAGAAGCACCGGCUAACUACGUG
rnacentral:rRNA from 1 species